UACGUAGGGGUCGAGCGUUGUCCGGACUUACUGGGCGUAAAGCGUGGGUAGGUGGUCACUGAUGUGCCGUGUGAAAGCGCCGCGCUUCUCGCGGCGAGGUCGCGGUAGACACAGUGACUAGAGGCACGGAGAGGGGCGUAGAAUUCCCGGUGUAGUGGUGAAAUGCGUAGAUAUCAGGAGGAACACCUGUGGCGAAAGCGGCUCACUGGACCAUAACUGACGCUGAUGCACGAAAGCUAGGGGAGCAAACAGG
rnacentral:rRNA from 1 species